rnacentral:lncRNA from 10 species
GGAGCAAGCAGCUCUCAGCGACCCACCUCAUUUGGAGCUCCACUCCUACCAGCACCCUAUAGACCAAGCCCUGCCCUCUACAGUAUCACCCAGUUGGGCCCUAAAUUGCAUUCCAAAGACCCUGCUCCUGGAACAGCCUUCUGCAAUCAACACAACCUCUUGGAGGUUUUACUGCGUCUGGCACUCGCAGGUUCCCCUGCUCUCACUCUCUCUCUCUCUGUUUCCUUGCUGUGAAAAACGUGUUGACCAUCAGGCAUAUGGCAGAAUAAUUGGAUUUCAGGCAAGCCAAUGUGAGAAACCAGAAGGCAAAUCUGGUCAUUUGUGGGUAUACACAGGACAAAGAAAAAGGAGUGUAGAGAAACAGAGGCUGUCCUGGAGAUAAGGAGAGUGAAGUUGAAAGGUUAAGUCAUGUGCCCAAAAUCACAGAGCUGAGAUUGGAACACAUAUCUGCCCGAUCCGAAAGUUCGGAAAAAAAAAGAAAAUGGUUAGGUUCUGGGAAAAUGUGGGGUUUUUUCUCCCCAUCCCCAGAGAUAGAUGUUUUUUAAAAUUUUUUAAAACAUAUUAAGAAAAAUCAUUUGGGGAACAUUGUACCCGGCAUGAUAGAAAACUGAAUUGAGAUAUGGGAUUGUUCUUCCUGAAAUAAAGAUAUCUGGUUCCUAUACUUACUUCAUACUGGUUUUUUUAAAAAGCAGAUAAUAUUUUUUACAUUUAUUUCUUCCACAAAUAAUUGGAAACACUAAGUGAAAGGCACUGUGCUAGUCACCAUUGAAGGUAUAACUGUGAACAAGGCAUGAAAUUUACAGUCUAGUAGAGAAGAAAAGUAAACAUGCAAUUAUGAUAGAGUUUGAUAAAUAUUAUAACAAGUGAAACCUCAGGGAGUUAUGGGAACAAGUUAAUAUUGACAAAGAGAAAUGCCAGAGUUUCAGGUUGAGGCUUAAGGCAUGAGUAAGCAAAGUGAAAACCCCUUUCUUCCACAAAAGAAGUUAGAAGUCAACGUUAAGUUUGGAGGAACUGCAUUCACGCGCACCCUCUCUCUUUCUCUCUCUCUCUCUCUCAAACAAUACUCUAAUUCUAGACAAUAAAAGAAAGACCUCUGCCACCU